CCCCAGUGACAGACAACUGGUCUAACGUUAGCCAUGCAGGGGAGGCUGAGCUGUAUGAUAUUCCAUUGAAGAGAUGUCUCAGCAACGAUGGUGCAGCAAUAUUACAGCAUUUUCUAUCAGCCUGCGCUACAAGCCAGUAGAGGGAGUCCAAGACUUGAAUCCUGUUACAACCUUUCGGGCCUCAAAAAUCUGUCUGAGCUGCAAGAGGCAG